AUGAGAUUUAAUAGAAAUGCUACAGCUCUCCGCCCUGGAAUUUUCGCCAUACGGUAUGUGCUCAAAGCAAUGAGAAAUCCUCACGAAGAAGCUAAAACACAACAUAAUACUGACGAAGACCCUGUUGAAGAGCAUGCAAUCCAGCAAGCUCCUGUCAAAGGACACAGAGACGGUGAUAUUGACAGCACACAAACACAAAGCAUGUCUCCUCAUUCAUCAGAAAAGGACACAGAACAGAACAUGAGGAACAAACCACCUGCGGCAGAAAUGGUAACUUACACUAGGCUCAACAGGAUUAAACACCUAGCAACAAGCAAAAAAAAGAGAAAAUCAGAUACCAGCACUAUUUUUAUUCCUGGAGCAAAAAGGCAAAAGAAAAAGGACAAUGCUGAAAACAUCGUCGACACUGGUACCUUGCAGCAUCAGCCAUUACCUCUAAUGGUACUCCCGCCAACAGAACCAACCGGCACGAAGAAACAAGCUGAACGCAAGAAGAGAAACAAAUGA
rnacentral:rRNA from 1 species